UGGGGGCGCUGUUGUACUUUCUCUAAGCUGGGCGCGCUAUAGAACAUUCUUUCCGCUCGCCUGUUUAAUGUGUACAGCGCGCCCCCACCGUGUCUGUCACACACUCAGACAACGUGAAUACAGAAACCGGUUGUCUUAAAGGCACGAAGAAACACCUGAACGAGCAGAGAUGAGCUGCUGGCCGGUAUCCGACUCUGGUCUCACUCUGAGCACUUCAUUGGUUCUGCUGACAUCCGCUACCAUACCGCACUGAUGACAUCUUAUUUAAGCGCGCAGGCAGACAAGACAAGAAACCUGUACCAUCAGAUAGAAUGCAAGAAUGAAAAAAAGAGAGAAGAUCCACAUCUCGCGACCAGAUAAGGCCAUGAGAGGUAAUCCAGUGAAAUUCUGCCCUUUGUAGGAAAAAGGAGCCGCGGCUGUCAGACGCAGAGUCCCUGAGCGCACACCGAGAGCCUGUGCAGAGAACACAAUCCGCUGAAGGAAAAAAGGGCAUUUUCAACACUGACAUUUACGUGGAUUAAUAAUAAAUAUCUCAUUAAAUGAAAAAACAUAUUUUUAUUGGCCUUGUGUUGACAAAUGAAUCUUUUGUCAACAUUUUCCAUGCUUCACACAUCACACUGUGUGAACUGCUGAACUGUGCUGUACAACAGGUACUGAUAUGAUAUCGUACCGCUGUAAUUUUAACCGUACUCAUGUUAUUUUUAAUAUUAAAGUGGGUGUGUCUGUUUUUACCUUAAA